UGAGGAAUAUUGGUCAAUGGGGCGGGAGCCUGAACCAGCCAAGCCGCGUGAGGGAAUAAGGCCCUACGGGUCGUAAACCUCUUUUGUCGGGGAACAAAAGCGGGGACGUGUCCCCGUCUGCGUGUACCCGAAGAAAAAGCAUCGGCUAACUCCGUGCC
rnacentral:rRNA from 1 species